rnacentral:rRNA from 1 species
GACGAACGCUGGCGGCGUGCCUAAUACAUGCAAGUUGAGCGCUGGAGGGUGGUACUUGUACCAACUGGAUUAGCGGCGGACGGGUGAGUAACGCGUGGAGAAUCUGCCUUUGAGCGGGGGACAACAUUUGGAAACGAAUGCUAAUACCGCAUAAAAACUUUAAACACAAGGUUUAAGAUUGAAAGAUGCAAUUGCAUCCCCCAAAGAUGAUCCCGCGUUGUAUUAGCUAGGUGGUGAAGUAAAGGCCCACCAAAGGGAAGGUACAUAGCCGACCUGGGAGGGUGGUCGGGCAACACUGGAACGGGGACACGCUCAAAAUCCCACCGGAGGCAGGAGGAGGGAAAUUUCGGCAAUGGACGGAAGUCUUGACGGGGCAAGCCGCGUGAGUGGAGGAGGGUUUUCGAUUGUAAAAACCUGGUGGUAGAGGAGAACGAUGGUGGGAGUGAAAAGCUCAUAUAGUGACGGUACCUAAUCAGAAAGCCACGGCUAACUACGUG